rnacentral:lncRNA from 1 species
GAAGAGUGGCAUACUUUUUUGGCUUCUAUGCUAACUGCUCUCUCCGUUGUUCCUUUACAGGUCUGUGCUGGCUUUUCUCUGCAUCUGUCUGUGUUGCACUGGUGGUGCCAGUUUCCAGUUCUACAGUAUGUUGUCAGCAGGAUCAGAGCUGGACCUGCAGGGCUGCUGAAGGAAGGAAGUGGAAUUGUGGGCAGUUCAGAGAUGGUUGAGGAGAACCUUGCAGUGCUCAGCAAUUCCCGAGCAACCUGCUGUAAAGUAAGUCUGAGUCCUGAAAGAGGAAAAGGUUCAAAUUGAGUUUAGGUGUCUCAGGUUUCCUACC